rnacentral:rRNA from 1 species
CCUACGGGUGGCAGCAGUGAGGAAUAUUGGUCAAUGGACGAGAGUCUGAACCAGCCAAGUAGCGUGAAGGAUGACUGCCCUACGGGUUGUAAACUUCUUUUAUAUGGGAAUAAAAUGUUUCACGUGUGGGAUUUUGUAUGUACCAUAUGAAUAAGGAUCGGCUAACUCCGUGCCAGCAGCCGCGGUAAUACGGAGGAUCCGAGCGUUAUCCGGAUUUAUUGGGUUUAAAGGGAGCGUAGGUGGAUUGUUAAGUCAGUUGUGAAAGUUUGCGGCUCAACCGUAAAAUUGCAGUUGAAACUGGCAGUCUUGAGUACAGUUGAGGUGGGCGGAAUUCGUGGUGUAGCGGUGAAAUGCUUAGAUAUCACGAAGAACUCCGAUUGCGAAGGCAGUUCACUGGACUGCAACUGACACUGAGGCUCGAAAGUGUGGGUAUCAAACAGGAUUAGAUACCCUUGUAGUC